AGUGCAAUGGCAUAAGCUAGCUUGACUGCGAGCGUGACGGCGCGAGCAGGUGCGAAAGCAGGUCAUAGUGAUCCGGUGGUUCUGAAUGGAAGGGCCAUCGCUCAACGGAUAAAAGGUACUCCGGGGAUAACAGGCUGAUACCGCCCAAGAGUUCAUAUCGACGGCGGUGUUUGGCACCUCGAUGUCGGCUCAUCACAUCCUGGGGCUGAAGUAGGUCCCAAGGGUAUGGCUGUUCGCCAUUUAAAGUGGUACGCGAGCUGGGUUUAGAACGUCGUGAGACAGUUCGGUCCCUAUCUGCCGUGGGCGCUGGAGAAUUGAGGGGGGCUGCUCCUAGUACGAGAGGACCGGAGUGGACGCAUCACUGGUGUUCGGGUUGUCAUGCCAAUGGCAUUGCCCGGUAGCUAAAUGCGGAAGAGAUAAGUGCUGAAAGCAUCUAAGCACGAAACUUGCCCCGAGAUGAGUUCUCCCUGAGACUUUAAGUCUCCUGAAGGAACGUUAAAGACGAUGACGUUGAUAGGUCGGGUGUGUAAGCGUAGCGAUACGUUGAGCUAACCGAUACUAAUGAACCGUGAGG
rnacentral:rRNA from 1 species